rnacentral:rRNA from 1 species
AGUCGUGCGAGAAGCCUCUUCGGAGGGUGGACAGCGGCGAAGGGAGAGUACGCGUGGAUACCAACCCCCAGGACCGGGAUAGCCGCGGGAAACCGCGGGUAAUACCGGAUAAUGUCUCCGGACCAAAGGUGUGAUUCCGNCUGGGGACGGGUCCGCGUCCUAUUAGCUUGUUGGUGAGGUAACGGCUCACCAAGGCGACGAUGGGUACCGGGUGUGAGAGCAUGGCCCGGCUCACUGGGACUGAGACACUGCCCAGACACCUACGGGUGGCUGCAGUCGAGAAUCUUCGGCAAUGGACGCAAGUCCGACCGAGCGACGCCGCGUGCGGGAUGAAGGCCUUCGGGUUGUAAACCGCUGUCAGAGGGGAGGAAAUCCUGUGGGGUUCUCUCCACAGGUUGACCUAUCCUCAGAGGAAGUACGGGCUAAGUUCGUGCCAGCAGCCGCGGUAAGACGAACCGUACAAACGUUAUUCGGAAUCACUGGGCUUAAAGGGUGCGUAGGCGGCCCUGCAAGUUGGGUGUGAAAGCCCUCGGCUCAACCGAGGAAUUGCGCCCAAAACUGCGGGGCUUGAGGGAGACAGAGGUGAGCGGAACUUAGGGUGGAGCGGUGAAAUGCGUUGAUAUCCUGAGGAACACCUGUAGCGAAAGCGGCUCACUGGGUCUCUUCUGACGCUGAGGCACGAAAGCUAGGGGAGCGAACGGGAUUAGAUAGCCCGGUAGUCCUAGCUGUAAACGUUGAGCACUUGGUCGGAGAGUCCUCCAUAGCUUUCCGGUCGCAGCGAAAGUGAUAAGUGCUCCGCCUGGGGAGUAU